rnacentral:rRNA from 1 species
UACGAGGGGGGCAAGCGUUGUUCGGAAUUAUUGGGCGUAAAGAGCUCGUAGGCGGUCUGUCGCGUCCGUUGUGAAAACUCGAGGCUCAACCUCGGGCUUGCAGUGGAUACGGGCAGACUAGAGUGCGGUAGGGGAGACUGGAAUUCCUGGUGUAGCGGUGGAAUGCGCAGAUAUCAGGAGGAACACCGAUGGCGAAGGCAGGUCUCUGGGCCGCAACUGACGCUGAGGAGCGAAAGCAUGGGGAGCGAACAGG